rnacentral:rRNA from 1 species
GACUUAGUCCUAACCUUACUGUUGGUUGUUGCUAGGUAUAUACAUGCAAGUAUCCGCGCGCCAGUGUAGAUGCCCUCAGUACCUCUCACCCAGGUCAGUAGGAGCGGGUAUCAGGCUCACACCUCCCCACGUAGCCCAAAACGCCUUGCACUUGCCACACCCCCACGGGUCCUCAGCAGUAAUUAAUAUUAAGCAAUGAGUGUAAACUUGACUUAGCCAUAGCAAUACAGGGUUGGUAAAUCUUGUGCCAGCCACCGCGGUCAUACAAGAAACCCGAAUCAACUUUACCUUAAUAACGGCGUAAAGAGUGGUAACAUGUUAUCAAAGUACCUAAGAUUAAAACGCAACUGAGCUGUCGCAAGCCCAAGAUGCCCCUAAGGCCACCACCUAAAGAAGAUCUUAGAGCAACGAUUAAUUGAAAUCCACGAAAGCCAGGGCCCAAACUGGGAUUAGAUACCCCACUAUGCCUGGCCGUAAAUAUUGAUGCUUUAUAUAACCUGAGCAUCCGCCCGAGAACUACGAGCCCAAACGCUUAAAACUCUAAGGACUUGGCGGUGUCCCAAAUCCACCUAGAGGAGCCUGUUCUGUAAUCGAUGAUCCACGAUACACCCGACCAUUCCUUGCAAAAACAGCCUAUAUACCGCCGUCGCCAGCUCACCCUGCUUGAAGGUCCAACAGUGAACGCAAUAGUUUUUACCACACUAAAAAGACAGGUCAAGGUAUAGCCUAUGGAAUGGAAGCAAUGGGCUACAUUUUCUAGUAUAGAACAACACGGC